rnacentral:piRNA from 1 species
CUGGAUAGAAGCUGGGAGCAGAG